UACGUAGGGUGCAAGCGUUGCCCGGAUUUAUUGGGCGUAAAGGGCGCGUAGGCGGGUGCUCAAGUCCGUGGUGAAAUCCUCCGGCUCAACCGGAGAACUGCCUCGGAUACUGGGUGCCUCGAGGGUGGUAGGGGUAUGCGGAACUAUCGGUGGAGCGGUGAAAUGCGUUGAUAUCGAUAGGAACUCCGGUGGCGAAGGCGGCUCACUGGCCCGAUACUGACGCUGAGGCACGAAAGCGUGGGGAGCAAACAGG
rnacentral:rRNA from 1 species